CUCGCUUUUUUUUCCUCUCCGGUUUUCGUUACAUUUUUCGAAAAAGCGAUGUCGAAUGGGCGAAGCGAGAUCUCGCCCUUCGAAAGUGUCGCGUCCUCCUCGCGGAGGACGCGGCUCCGGUGUCAAGGCCGCGGCUGCCAAGAAUGCGCGCAGGUGUGACCGGCGGCGCCGGAAUUGUCGCGAGAGUUUUCGGGGUCGAUCUCGAUGGACGGUCGCUCCGCGAGGAGGAUCGAUGAGAUGUGCGGCGGCGCGCAUGUAUGCAUUAUAAGCGUACGAGCGGAAACAAAUCAACGCGAACUUCGAUCACGCGCAAAGUCCACUCGUAAUCGGGCGUCACACCUCUUGCAUAAUUGCAAUAACCGCAAGUCAGCAGAGACUUGUAUGUAACGUACGUGAAAAAAUUGGUCCGGCGAAGCAAAAGUUGCCGCUGAUCACGGAACGUUAAUGUAUAACGUUAAUGUCGCUUUUCCCCUCCCCUCCGCGAGCGUCGUCCCUCCGUCCCUUGGAAACGACGGGAAUUGCUCUCGCGUGUUCACCUCGGGACGGAGCGGCAUGACUCAUCGAUUUGUCGCGCGAUACGCGCACCCGUUGCGCUCGUGUGGGCGCUGUGAGUGGAAGACAUUCGUCGGCUGUUGAAGGUAUUCCCUUGCGGUCGCGUCUUCGCCAGAUCGUUGCGAAUGUCUUCGAGACGACACUUCCCAGGAAUCCAAUGAUUUGCCAAGGGACUGAAUCUCAUCUGUAUUUUCUAUCUGUAUUUAUAUGAAUUUAUAUGAAUAAUUUCGCUCGCGCAUUUAAGAAUUUACAUUUACAUUGGGCCAUCAAGAUAAUGGGGCCUAAUAAAAUUAUGCAAAUUAUUUUCAAAUCCUAAGCUAAAAUUCUUCUAGAAUUUAUCUUGCAGACACUUUUAAUAAAAUAUCUUUUAGAUAUCCGCAAGACGUUUCCUGGAUUCUUUCCAUAUAUAUUAUCUGUAUGUACAUAUGACCUCCGCGUUGAUACGAGAAAGUGCUUUCCAAAAACAGAACGAUGCAUUUUUUCUUUCCUCACGCGAAUAUCCCGCACUUGGGCCAAACUUUCGCUCUCGUUGACCCUCGAGCCCGCGAGCAACCUUUAAUCGCGGCGAAGAAAGUACAAGAGAGGCUUUAGAUAUAAAAGCUGCCGCCGUUACGCGCGAUUAAAUUUUAUCGCCGCGAGUGACCUUAGUGUUAUUUUCGUCGGCGAUUUCCACCUGAUCGACAACAGACGAUUCGUCGGACAGCGUGGCGUACGUAUACCUUUCCUCGGGCGAACUGUAAUCAAAUACGAUUCACCGUCGCGUCGAACUCAAAUUGUUUUCCUUUUCUUUUCUUUCUCCGUGGAUUUUGUUGUCGAGAAGCACGAGGGACGCCCGGCGGCGAUUCCUCGCCGCGUUGCGUGCUCCGCUCGUGGAAAAACGCGAUCCUUAUGAAAUGUCGGCACGAACCCGCGUCGACGAGGUCCCCGCGACGGGACGUGCGGCGGGGAGGAUCGCGUGUAGACACCAGAAACGCGAGCGAGUUUUGUGGAUAUUGAUCAGCGGGAGUAUUUUAGAUCGCGGAGUCUGCGCGCGGCGCGCUCCGCGGAAUUCGUCGUGGAAUCCCUAACGUGUACAGGAAAACACCGACGAGAUUCACGGAGACUCGCCGGUGACGUUUCUUCGUCUCGUCUUGGACGAUUCCGGGAUUCCCCCCCCCCCCCCCCGCCCCCCGUUCGCUCGUCCGCGGCGCGCUAUUAAGUCAUUAAAAGUGCACGCGGAUAAUGGAGCGCUACAGAGAUAAAUAAAGGACGAUGAUUUAUGCAAACGACUACGCGCCAUUGCCGGUCGCGUUCUGGUUGUGCUCCUUCCUCUCGCGGACCGGCUGGAGGAAAUGACGGUCGCGCAUAUUUAUGACUAUAUCCAUCCACUCGGCGCUCGGGGCACUCGCGCAUGCAGCUCUCCGCGGCUUAAAAAAUGACGGUAUGUGGGGCACAAAUAAUAUGCGGCCCGACCGACUUGGGCGCCCGCGCUAGUGACAGACGAUUAAUCGACAAUUACAGCCGCGCUUCAGAAAAGUGUGCUGAUCGAUUGAGAGCUGACAUUUAGGAGAAGGUUGAAAAAAAAAAAAGAGAGACACAUACACACGCGUACGUAUCUUUAAUUUCUUGACUGGGAUAGGGCCUCCGCGAAUUUGUUCCAUUCACCUACGUCUCCAAUCAAAUCUAAAUUACCUCCAUCAUUUUCCAUCUCUCUUCGAAACUUUCUUCCAUUUUGUUGCGUACGUAGGUAAUAACAUAAAAAGGAAAACUUUGCAAGAGUGAAAGUGAGUAUAUAGCGUGUAUCUAUAGGUUAAUCACCUUAAGGGACGAAACCCUACUCGAUAGGUUGCCAUGAAACACCCUUCUCGAUGUUUUCCAUACAUAUCGCGUGUAUCGAUCGUCUCGACGGUUUCUAGACUGAGGAGGGCCCGAUGAAUAGCCGUGUUGUUGUACACGUGAGGGAGUAUUUAGAAGAAAAAUUGCCAAACGCUGUCCUAAUAUACGAUAUCCACACCCAAUACAAUUCCAGCGUAACGAUUUGCGCUCGAACAUCCGUUUUUGUUUGAUCGAAACGCAACUGGCUGUCGCGGAAACGGCGAAUCGAUCCUUUCGGACGACGUCCGACGAAUAAGUGGCUCGAAUAAUAAUUUUUGAAUGAGAAAGUUUCGUAGAAUUACAGUCGUUUCACUUUAACGAGUUUCUAAUUAAAUGUACGAUCGAUGCGACGUAGGUCACCUAAAUAACAACCUCCCCGUAGAUCCUUGACGAUUAACAUAUAGACGAAGCGAUGUCGCGCAAUCUGCUUCGCGGGUAAUAGGAUCGAUAUUGCAAUCUUCUCCUCUGUAGCCCGACACCUCAAUAGGUACCUAGGCGAUACGGAUGUCCCUAUUGUUGUCGAGGCAGCAGCACCGCCUCGGAAAGAAUCUCUCGGAACACGAGAAAGGAAAUCAAACUUUCUCGUCGCGCGUCGCCUGUAAUCAAAAUAUUAUACACGCUUAUUGCCGUCGACUCCGACACGCGAUCUCUUGUUGACUUUUGCGCACGGGCAGACAGACAGAUAGCCUCCCGCCCAACUCUCCUUAGAUCUGUAACAAUAUUACGGAGCGGAGAACUUCGAAACUGAUCCCGAUUGAACGACGUUAAACUUGGUCGCGAUUGUCGCGUUUCUCUUCCGAUAUACCUCUCGAUUGGUUUUAAUCCCCCGUAUUUAGGUCCGAUUCACUUUUUUUGCCGUCGCACGGAACGUGUUUUUGUCGCUAGCACUCGGUCCAGCCGCUAUCUACCUUUAUUUCUAUGGUGAAAGCCGCGCUCUGUGAUAAGAAUGUUUCCAACGGAGUUGGCCCCUUAACUCGGCGGCCGCGGAGUGUCGAAUCAUUUUUGACUUACUUACCGAGCUCGUUCAAUGCUAAUCGAAACAUAAUCGAACAUCGUGAAGUCUUUCACUCGAGAAAGUUCUCAAAAUCGCACGACACCUUCAACAACGCGCGCGCGCAUUUGCAUUAUUAUUUGCUGAAAUACGACGUUGAUAUCGGUGACGGUAAAUGAUUUACGAGCUUUCGUGCUGCUACCCGCGGUGAAAGGGGGAAGGUGAUCUAGUUUCGAGAAACGAUCCCUCAAAACCGAAUGUGCCGCCGCGCGUGCAUCACUUUCGUUAAGCGACUCACUUCAAAGUGCGAAAACAAUUGCUCAGCGUUCUAAUGCCCGGCGCAAAUCGCGCGAAGAUCGAAAAUUUAGAAAAUGUCGGGGAACUCGCGUGCAAAAUCGAUCGAUAAAGUGAAAGAGCGAGGUAUAUAUGUUUUUACGUUUUUUUUCUCUCUCUCUCUCUCUCUCAUGGAGACUGCUGCGAACGCGCGUUAGUUCCGUUUUAUAGGAAAUGCCUGCAGCUUCUCUCCGGUCAGGAGCGAGAGACUUGAAGACACCGGGACAGAGAUACGUCCCACACGCGACACACGAUUAAACCGGAAUUCCGGUGGUGCGUCUCGAGUGGCGUUAUUGAAAUCGGAGAGAGUGCGAGUUCGAACGGCCGCAAAAAGAAAAGAAACACGCGGAACGGGAAAGAAAGAAAAAUAAACCCGGCGGCUGCGUUGACAUCGCGCGUCGUACGUAGGCUUCGGUCCCCAAUGUCCCCCCCAUCGAACUUUCCAAUGUCGCGGGAAACCCCCUCGCGUUUGCCCGGCGGCGGGCAAGUCAAGUGGAGCGUCCGUACAACACGUGCACAUUCUACGCAUCUUGACGCGCGAUAAAUACGGUCGUUUUGUCGAUUAAGCCGUUAAUUAGCGAUAGCGUUCUCCCGAGCGACAGGCGAUCGGCGAAGCAAUGUUUAUCUAAUCGCGAGGAGAGUCGCGUCUCUUUGACGAGGACUUGAUUCGAUUAUAAUUAUCGCCUCCGGGCGACUGUCUCUCCCCCCUCCUCUCUCUCUCUCUCUCUCUCUCUCUCUCUCUCUUUCUCUCCCUCGCGCAAUUGGAAGUGAUGGAGAGUCCCGGACUCUCUCUGCUGUGCGAACAUUGUUUUCUUCCUGUAUGACGCGCGAGAGGAAAGGGAAGAGGGGUUCCACCGAGUAAUCUAUACUUUUAACCAUCUAACGCACGUCAAAUUACAAAAUCAUUGGAAUUAUUGUCAAAUCGUGCGGUAGACGUAUAAUUAACUUUGACGCGUAAUUUCUCCGGGAUUCCCCCUCUCCGCAUCGAAGGACCCUCGGGGACGUUUGGUCAUGGUGAGCUUAUUGCGCUCUCACGUCGCAUUUUUUUACGUCGUUCGUCGUCGUUUCCAUCGAGAUAUCUCGUCAUUAAAAAAAACGAGAUGUAGUAUACAUAGCCGAUCGCGUGUGAGAGCCUUCCCCUUCUCGCGCGUAUGCCGGCUCGAUUAAUCGGAGCGUUUAGAGAGGAACACGCGCGAGGGCCUCUAAAACUCGGCAUCACGAUCCUGACCCAGCGGGUCGAUCGGCCGGCUAAAAACACGAGACGGGGAGACGCAGCGGAAUCGUUACGCUCGCGUAACACUUCGGGGCCGAUCGACGUGAGCGGCUCGCCGUCGCUGUGAGAAACUCCGCGCUCCGUCCAAGCCGGGCGACGAAACUACAUUGCGACGGCGGCGGCGUCGUAUGUACAGGGGAUGCGGAGGAAGCGAUGGAGAGCCGCUGGAUUUUAAUCCGCGCCGGCACGGAAUCCGAUCGGACGUCGACUCCUCGCUCGCCGCGCCGCGAUUAUAUGCCCGGUAACGGUACAAGGUGCAGCAGCGCGCACUCGCGCGAUGACCGAGAGGGACCCUCCUCGCGGAGAGAUGCCUAUCUUCGCGAAUAGAAAGAAAGAGAGAGAGAGAGAGAGAGAUAUGCAUAGCCGGCGAAUCUCCGUGACCUGGAACGGAAACUACGAAUUUCCUCCGUCUGGAAUAUCAAGGGAUACCAUCCUACGCUCGUAGGAUCUGCCGAUCGAUCGCUCGUUGAUCGCUCGAUCGAUCGCGUGGAUUAUUUUCUAAGCCCAACAAAGAUCCUUGCCCCGCCUCGGUGGCCCUCCCCGCGGAGUAUAACGUAACCGUUACACUCGCCGAUGAAAUUAUUUAACGUCCGCGUCUCGAUAACGUGCGGUUCGACUCGACGAAGAGAGAGAGAGAGAGAGAGAGAGAGAGAGAGAGAGAGGAGCGGGAGAGGUCGGGAGUACCUGCACGGAGAGACAGACCGUAAAGAUAGAAAGUCGAUGCAGGUGCGCGACGAGAAUAGCGCGCCACACGUUGAUUGGCGCGCAUAAUAAAACUUGACAAUAUAUCCCGCGUAAUUAUUCGUCUCUUAAGCCGACAAGGGUGAUAGGCUUAGCCAGAUAUUAUCGCGCGCGCCCAUCGGCAAAACCACGCGGCCGCAAAACGAUCUCUCUCGUGCGAGAAUUAUUACGGGCGAUUAUCCUGGCGCGUCGCGUCGCGUUACGGCAACUCGUAACACGUUCCGCAAUUACCGUAUUCUGCGGAAGAGUUUGUCUGUUAACGAAGCGAACCACGGCGGCAAAAUCAAAAGUCGGAAACGACGGUUAUCCGACUCGAGAGAAAGAGAGAGAGAGGGAACUCGAUCCGGGGUCUUCGCGUGUUCCGCGUGGUGGACGACGUGCGCGAGAAGCCGAUCGCCGAUGAUAUUUCGACUGGAAUAUGACCCGGCGACCCCGGGAAUAGAAUCUAAAUCCCUCCCCUCGUCCACCGGUACUUUCUCCCGAGAGUGUUCCGGGCGAAAAUGUUAUUAAUCUCUUCAUCGGGGGAGCUGGCACGGGCCGGUGCGAGGCGAAAGGGUGGCGGAAAAAAAGGGAAGAAGAGGAAGGGAGGCGAGGGACCUAUUGUUGCUGAAUGCGCACUGCAGGCGCAUCGGCUUGACCUUUCGAGCGCAUGAGGAAAGCGCAAGCCCCGAAACGUCCAUGGUGUUGGUUGCCUGCUUCGGAUUUCGCGCGGAAACACGUUUCGCGCGUGUCGCCGGCGGCGAACGAUCCAAUUUGGCGUGCGAUCGCCUUUUCACCGAACGCACAUACGAUUUAUCCACGUCCGCGGAAACUCGCCGUCGAAAAGAAAGGAGAGAAAAAUUCUAAAUUCUGUUGCGCAAUCUCUCUCCCGGGCCGGCGUAAAAAUGUAUGGAGACUUUCACCGGGAGCGGGCGAGUAAAACGAAUCGAGUGUAUCGUUAUCGAAGAGUCCCUCGAGGGAGUUAAUCGCGGGCGGCGAGUCGGAUCCCCUUACCUUACAGUCACGCCGGAUAAUGAGGACUCUCGUCGAGCGUAAUGACGAGGACGAUGAGCUCGUUAAUUUCGCUUCUGCCGUGACCCCGCGCGCGAACCCGACGACGACGACGAGGCGCCUGUUUCCGCCUGCACGCGCGCGCGCGCGCGGACGAGGAACGAGGAGGCGAGAAACGAGAAGCGAGCGUUUUCUGGACGAGCUGUCAUCGAUUUCUCGCGUACCACUUUUCCUGCACGCACAUGUGCAUACGGGCAUGCACAUUACCCGUUUCCUACGCGAGAAACGGCUUUGUUGAUGCUAAUAGGUGAAGGCUUAAAGGGUCAACGAAACACACGUCGGAAAUUUAUCAUAUAUACGCUUGUGCCUCCUCUCGGAUAUCGCUCGCGCGAUUCCGCGUCGUAACGGUUGGUUUACCGCUGACCGUGUCAUUAAGUCGACGUAAUGACGAAACGUCAAAUGGCGAGGGGGAAAUGGAAUAGAAUAGAAUUCCUCUUUCUUCUUUCGGCUGGCCGAUCGCGAUGCUACGGCGCGGUAAUGUGUGUGAUUGUGUGCGAGUAACGAGGGCACCGGGCCGCGAUGUUUUUCGGAGGUCGUUGCGGCGCUAGGUUCAAUCUGAUUGCGGGUCCAUUAGAAACAAUAGGGUUUUCGCUCCACGGCGGUCGGAUAGAAUGCGAAAUGUAUAAAUGAUUUGCAAACUUCGCGGAUUUCGAACUCUGCACGAACGUCCGUGAAAGGUACGAAUCAGAUCGCGUAUCGCGAAACUUUUCGGAAUGGAAUAAUCCCGCAAACAAGAAUAUUAAGCAGCUCGUAUAGAAUCGACAAAUCAAGUGUUAUUUAGGCCAACAGCAUAAGCGAAUAGUUAUAAAUAAUUAAAAAAAAGGUAUCUUCAAUUUCUCGUAAUAUUAAACAAACAACGAACGACGCCUCGGAAUCUCUUUCAGCGUGAAUAUUAACUUGAGAACUUAAUUUACAUAUUACAAUUACAUAAUUUACAAUUUAAUGAUGUCGUGCAAAUAAUAUUUCGCGACACAGUACUAUAAAGUUAUAAUUGUUAAACGUAGUAAAAUGAGAUGUAAGAUAAGUCGUAAUGUGGGAAAGGUCGUAAUAUAAAAAGAAAUCAUAAUUCGUCGUUUCACGAUCGCGAAUUAAUCGGAUCUGAUGUUGCCAAACAUAAAAUUGUUGUGAAUCUUUUCGUCGGUAGAAGUAUGUUUAAAUUUAUGUGAAUUGACCAUGCUACGUUAUAUAUUGUAAUUAAUACGUAAUGAAUGAGGAAUAAGUAAAGAAUAUGAGAAAAUAAUGGCGAUUGUUAAUAACUGAAUAAUUCCCAUCAAAAUUACUCAGUCAUUUCCCACAUUUCUGUCGUGUUUUCCAGGGAAAACGGUAUAAUUCCAAUUAAAAUCCAUUUCCAACAGUUUCAUAACACUUGCCCAGAUGUCCUAAAUCGACAUUUGACAAUCUUUUAUAUGUAGAAUAAGUUCAGACAAAGGGGGAAACUUUAUAUCACACGUUAUAGAUGUACGUAUGAACCUUUAUACUUGUUUCUUCAAUGCAUGUAAUCGUGAACAGUGAACGUGUCAAACAACAUCGGAUAAAACUUUUACAUGCCGUGUCGCUGAUUGUCGCCAUUCGCCAUUAUGUCCAAGUGGAUCAAGGUUUUGCCGGCUAUUAACGUAACGUAACUAAAUGCUGAUAGACAGGAACGGUGCGGCUUAAUCGCUAUUAUUCGACCGGUGGCUCCGAAUUAAUUAACAUCAUAACCUCGAAACAAUGCAACGACCACGAUGAUUAGUCUUAUCAGGAAAACUCGCGCGUCAUUCUUCGAACUGUUGUUAGCGAGGUGGAAAAUAGGAAUGUGGCUUACGUCCCCUUAGUCUCUCCGAAGCGAGCUUGCACUGCUCACCCGUGUCUUCAAAACGAGCGAUAAAUCCGACGAUUAUCGCUAUUCAUCAUCCGUCAGAUCACCCUGUCUCGCCAACCUACAGCCCCCAUUUCCCUCCGGUGGGAAGAUACGCGCGCGCGCGAAAGAUCUCAGAAGUAGGACACCUUCUCUUAUCGCGCCGGAGCAUCCCGCGAACGACGGGAACGAGCCACGUAGAAAGGCAGAAGGGAAAGGAUGUGAGGACUCGCCGGAGUGAGAGUACCGGAGCACUUAGGGGAGCUAAAUGCUGUUCGAAAAAAAGAAA
rnacentral:lncRNA from 1 species